GCACUGGUGAUUCAGUGGUAGAAUCCUUACCUUCCACGUGGGAGACCCAGGUUCGAUUCCCUACCAAUGCA
rnacentral:tRNA from 1 species